GAUGAACGCUGGCGGCGUGCCUAAUACAUGCAAGUCGAGCGAACGGACGAGAAGCUUGCUUUUCUGAUGUUAGCGGCGGACGGGUGAGUAACACGUGGAUAACCUACCUAUAAGACUGGGAUAACUUCGGGAAACCGGAGCUAAUACCGGAUAAUAUUUUGAACCGCAUGGUUCAAAAGUGAAAGACGGUCUUGCUGUCACUUAUAGAUGGAUCCGCGCUGCAUUAGCUAGUUGGUAAGGUAACGGCUUACCAAGGCAACGAUGCAUAGCCGACCUGAGAGGGUGAUCGGCCACACUGGAACUGAGACACGGUCCAGACUCCUACGGGAGGCAGCAGUAGGGAAUCUUCCGCAAUGGGCGAAAGCCUGACGGAGCAACGCCGCGUGAGUGAUGAAGGUCUUCGGAUCGUAAAACUCUGUUAUUAGGGAAGAACAUAUGUGUAAGUAACUGUGCACAUCUUGACGGUACCUAAUCAGAAAGCCACGGCUAACUACGUGCCAGCAGCCGCGGUAAUACGUAGGUGGCAAGCGUUAUCCGGAAUUAUUGGGCGUAAAGCGCGCGUAGGCGGUUUUUUAAGUCUGAUGUGAAAGCCCACGGCUCAACCGUGGAGGGUCAUUGGAAACCGGAAAACUUGAGUGCAGAAGAGGAAAGUGGAAUUCCAUGUGUAGCGGUGAAAUGCGCAGAGAUAUGGAGGAACACCAGUGGCGAAGGCGACUUUCUGGUCUGUAACUGACGCUGAUGUGCGAAAGCGUGGGGAUCAAACAGGAUUAGAUACCCUGGUAGUCCACGCCGUAAACGAUGAGUGCUAAGUGUUAGGGGGUUUCCGCCCCUUAGUGCUGCAGCUAACGCAUUAAGCACUCCGCCUGGGGAGUACGACCGCAAGGUUGAAACUCAAAGGAAUUGACGGGGACCCGCACAAGCGGUGGAGCAUGUGGUUUAAUUCGAAGCAACGCGAAGAACCUUACCAAAUCUUGACAUCCUUUGACAACUCUAGAGAUAGAGCCUUCCCCUUCGGGGGACAAAGUGACAGGUGGUGCAUGGUUGUCGUCAGCUCGUGUCGUGAGAUGUUGGGUUAAGUCCCGCAACGAGCGCAACCCUUAAGCUUAGUUGCCAUCAUUAAGUUGGGCACUCUAAGUUGACUGCCGGUGACAAACCGGAGGAAGGUGGGGAUGACGUCAAAUCAUCAUGCCCCUUAUGAUUUGGGCUACACACGUGCUACAAUGGACAAUACAAAGGGCAGCGAAACCGCGAGGUCAAGCAAAUCCCAUAAAGUUGUUCUCAGUUCGGAUUGUAGUCUGCAACUCGACUACAUGAAGCUGGAAUCGCUAGUAAUCGUAGAUCAGCAUGCUACGGUGAAUACGUUCCCGGGUCU
rnacentral:rRNA from 1 species